rnacentral:misc_RNA from 1 species
ACCCACGACUAUGACGUCAAGAUGCGCAAUGUCUUCAAGUUCCUCGAGAACGGCGACAAGGUGAAGGUCACCCUGCGGUUCCGCGGCCGCGAGAUGGCGCACCAGAACCUGGGCCGCGAACUGCUGGAACGGGUGGCGGAAGACGUCAAGGAAAUCGGCAAGAUCGAGAAUAUGCCGAAGAUGGAAGGCCGUCAGAUGAUCAUGAUGAUCGGUCCGCUGCCACAGAAAUAGACGCGUUUCGGCACCGAAACGACAAACGCCGGGGCAUUUGCUCCGGCGUUUCGCGUUUGGCGGCUGUGGCGUAACAGGGGCUCUGCCCC